AUUACUCCUACGGGAGGCAGCAGUGGGGAAUAUUGCACAAUGGGGGAAACCCUGAUGCAGCCAUGCCGCGUGUGUGAAGAAGGCCUUCGGGUUGUAAAGCACUUUCAGCGAGGAGGAAAGGUCAGUAGCUAAUAUCUGCUGGCUGUGACGUUACUCGCAGAAGAAGCACCGGCUAACUCUGUGCCAGCAGCCGCGGUAAUAAU
rnacentral:rRNA from 1 species